rnacentral:rRNA from 1 species
GUCCGCCUCACCGCGUGCACUGGUCCGGCCGGGCCUUUCCUUCUGAGGAGCCGCAUGCCCUUCACUGGGUGUGUCGGGGAAUCAGGACUUUUACUUUGAAAAAAUUAGAGUGUUCAAAGCAGGCCUAUGCUCGAAUACAUUAGCAUGGAAUAAUAGAAUAGGACGUGUGGUUCUAUUUUGUUGGUUUCUAGGACCGCCGUAAUGAUUAAUAGGGAUAGUCGGGGGCAUCAGUAUUCAAUUGU